AAAGUGAAGAAUGCAAGUAAAAGUGUGAUAGUGACAUUAUGACAUAACAACCUUAGGGUGCGUUUGGUUCGCAUUAUGAAAGAUUACUAGGAAUAAAAGAUAUCCGGGAAUCUUAUUUCUAUUCAUUCUAUUACUAAGAAUGUGGAAUUCCUAUGUUUGGUUCGCACAGUAAUAUUAAUUAGCUAUGUUAUUUGAUAUUAAAAAAAAUAUACAAUUAAUUAAUUAAUUAAUUUAAUUAUUUUUAGAUAAUGUUACCAAAAGUUUCAACAUCUUUUUAGAAAAAGGGAGAAAGAGUAUAAGUUAGAGAGAGAGAGCAUAAUUAAAAAAAUAGAAAGAAAAAUAUAGUCGAAAUUAGAGGGAGUGAGAGAGUUGAAAUUUUAGAAAGAGAGAGAGAGAGAAAGCUUAGUUUAGAGAGAGAAAAAAAGUUGAAUUUUAGAGAGAAAAAUAAGUUUAGAGAGAGAUAUAAGGUUAGAGUGUAACGAAAAAUAAUAUCAAUUAGCCGGCGGGUAGGAAGAAAGAAAGAGAUUAGACAUAUUAUGAUUACCCCAAUCCAUUAAUAUGAGAAUACCCACCCUCCCUCAAGGGAAUGAGAUUAGUACUUUGGGGUGAAUCUUAUUCCCAAGUGAAUCCAGUAUUACUAACUAGAUUACUUAGUGCGUUUAGCCAAACACCAUCAUAUUUUUUUUAUUCCCAUUGGAUUACUAGGAAUCUUUAAAAGAUAGCGCGAACCAAACGCACCCUUAGAGUUAAGGAUUGGAUCAUACUCGCCUGUAAGUCCUUGCUCGAGGGUGAUAGCUCCCCCUCGGGCGAUGUGCUCCGGAGUUAUCAUCACUAG
rnacentral:lncRNA from 1 species